CUGAUGUAAGCAUAUCGUGUUAGAGAUUUAUAUCUCUUAGGGUGCGUUUGAUUCGCAUUAUGAAAGAUUACUAGGAAUAAAAGAUAUCCGAGAAUCUUAUUCCUAUUCAUCCUAUUACUAAGAAUGUGGAAUUCAUGUGUUUGGUUCGCACGGUAAUAUUAAUUAGCCAUGUUAUUUAAUAUUACAAAAAAUAUACAAUUAAUUAAUUAAUUUAUUUAUUUAAUUUUAAAUAAUGUUACCAAAAGUUUCAACAUCUUUUUAGAAAAAAGAGAGAGAGUAUAAGUUAGAGAGAGAGAGCAUAAUAAAAAAAAUAGAAAGAAAAAUAUAGUCGAAAUUAGAGGGAGUGAGAGAGUUGAAAUUUUAGAAAGAGAGAGAGAGAGAAAGCUUAGUUUAGAGAGAGAAAAAAAAGUUGAAUUUUAGAGAGAAAAAUAAGUUUAGAGAGAGAUAUAAGGUUAGAGUGUAAAGAAAAAUAAUAUCAAUUAGCCGGCGGGUAGGAAGAAAAAAAGAGAUUAGACAUAUUAUGAUUACCCCAAUCCAUUAAUAUGAGGAUACCCACCCCCCUCAAGGGAAUGAGAUUAGUACUUUGGGGUGAAUCUUAUUUCCAAGUGAAUCCAAUAUUACCAACUAGAUUACUUAGUGCGUUUAGCCAAACACCGUCAUAUUUUUUUAUUCCCAUUGGAUUACUAGGAAUCUUUAAAAGAUAGCGCGAACCAAACGCACCCUUAACGUAAUGACAAGACCAAGCCCAACCUAUU
rnacentral:lncRNA from 1 species